UGGGGAAUUUUGGACAAUGGGCGAAAGCCUGAUCCAGCAAUGCCGCGUGUGUGAAGAAGGCCUUCGGGUUGUAAAGCACUUUUGUCCGGAAAGAAAUCCUUGGCUCUAAUACAGCCGGGGGAUGACGGUACCGGAAGAAUAAGCACCGGCUAACUACGUGCCAGCAGCCGCGGUAAUACGUAGGGUGCAAGCGUUAAUCGGAAUUACUGGGCGUAAAGCGUGCGCAGGCGGUUUGCUAAGACCGAUGUGAAAUCCCGGGCUCAACCUGGGAACUGCAUUGGUGACUGGCAGGCUAGAGUAUGGCAGAGGGGGGUAGAAUUCCACGUGUAGCAGUGAAAUGCGUAGAGAUGUGGAGGAAUACCGAUGGCGAAGGCAGCCCCCUGGGCCAAUACUGACGCUCAUGCACGAAAGCGUGGGGAGCAAACAGGAUUAGAUACCCUGGUAGUCCACGCCCUAAAACGAUGUCAACUAGUUGUUGGGGAUUCAUUUCCUUAGUAACGUAGCUAACGCGUGAAGUUGACCGCCUGGGGAGUACGGUCGCAAGAUUAAAACUCAAAUGAAUUGACGGGGUCAUAGCUGUUUCCAU
rnacentral:rRNA from 1 species